AUUGAACGCUGGCGGAAUGCUUUACACAUGCAAGUCGAACGGCAGCACGGGGGCAGCCCUGGUGGCGAGUGGCGAACGGGUGAGUAAUACAUCGGAACGUGCCCGGUCGUGGGGGAUAACGUAGCGAAAGUUACGCUAAUACCGCAUACGAUCUGAGGAUGAAAGCGGGGGACCUUCGGGCCUCGCGCGAUCGGAGCGGCCGAUGUCAGAUUAGGUAGUUGGUGGGGUAAAGGCCUACCAAGCCGACGAUCUGUAGCUGGUCUGAGAGGACGACCAGCCACACUGGGACUGAGACACGGCCCAGACUCCCACGGGAGGCAGCAAGUGGGAAUUUUGGACAAAGGGCGGAAGCCUGGUCCAGGCAAUCCGGCUUGAGGAAGAAAGGCUUCGGGGUGGAAAACGGCUUUUGUAGGGAACAAAAAGGUCCGGGCAAAACCUGGGGCUCAUGACGGUACCGUAAGAAUAAGCACCGGCUAACUACGUG
rnacentral:rRNA from 1 species